UUAUGAGAUACGGAUGAAACAUUCAGGGAACCAUGUAAAUGAUUCUGAAAGUGGCUACCCAGGUGCUGUAUAAGGAAGCUUGUAAUAGGAGUGGAAAACCACCCAAAAACUAUGUGUCUCAAAAUGCCAGUAGAGACAUAGAAAGAAGAGAGGAACUAGCUGGGAUAUCAUUAUGAAGAACCUAACCUCCUUGGAGUCAAACUAUUCAGAGGGAAUGCAGAUACUGAGACACCCUAGCUCAUCUAGGAAGUCGGGAAGAAAAAAGCGAGCCAAUGUUCAGUGCCACACUUGGACCACUGCAGGAAAGGCAGCUUUGUAAAGACAAUUUGAGACUUUCAUCAAACUAGGAAAAACUUUGGCUCAGGUUGACUGUCUAAAAUCAAUUUGGAAGGAGAAAUCACUGUCCAGUUUAACAUGGUGUCGUGGAAAGUUUGCUGUUAAAAAUAUUACUUCCUGGCAGAGGUGUUACAAAGAGUUAAUCCAAUUUUUAUGCCCCCUCCAUUUGAAAGAGAGGGGACGUAUAUAUUGUUUUACAUGACUAAUUUGGUCUGUAGAGCAAAUCUUGUCUGCUCAAUAUCUAAUGAAUUCUUUUGCUUGACUGUUUCCAAACUUAGUACAAUGAUUGCCCCUAGAUAGUGAAUGACCCAUAUUAAUUUACAGGUCACAGGGUCAAGGGUCAAACUGGACACAGUAAGAUAUUGUCUGUUCAAUAUCUUGAGAACGCUUUCCUGACAGACAUCAAACUCGGUAUACUGGUUUCUUUUAAGAAGUAGAUGGUUUCUUUUAAGAAGUAUAUGUCCCAUAAUGUCCUCUAUUCAUUUUGAAGUCACAAGGACAAAGGUCAAACUGUACAUAAUAAAAUAUUGUCCACUGAAUAUUUAAAGAGCCAACCCUUUACCUGACAGUUACUAAACUUGGUACAGCGGUUGACCCUAGAGAGUAGAUGACCCCUACUGAUUUCCAGAUCCCAAGGUUGAAGGUAAAAUUGGACAUAGUAAGAUACCGUCUGUUCAAUAUUUGAGAACCAUUCGCUUGACAGACAUCAAACUUGGUUCACUAUUUUUCCUUAAGAAUUAGAUACCCCAUUGAUUUUGAGGUCACAAGGUCAAGGGUCAAACUGGACAUGACAAGAUAUUGUCUGCUCAAUAUCUUGAGGAAUCUUUGCUUGACAGAUAUCAAAUCAGGUACACUGGUUCUACCUAAGGAGUAGAUGACUCCAUUUGAUUUUGAAGUCACAAGGUCAAUGGUCAAAAUACUACGGACAUAGGUAUUGUCUACACAAUAUCUUGAUUUUGCGUUUCUUGACAGGCAUCAAACUUGGUACACUGACACAUCAUAAGUGUAGAUAUCUAGUAUUCAUUUUAAGGUCAAUGGUCAAACUACUCUGGACAUCAGAUUUUGUCCAUUCAGUAUCUUGAGAACUCUUGUUUGACAAACAUCAAACUUGGUAGUCUGGUGCCGCCUAAAGAAUAGAUGGCCCCCAUUGGUUUUAAACUCUCAAGGUCAAAGGUCAGGACUCAAAUAACUGCUUAUUUGAAAAUGUCUGCUCAGUACCUUUAGAGAUCACAUAUAAUGGUUGCCUCUGACUAAUAGAUACAUUGUAACACUUAAUUUUCACUUUUGCUACAGACAUUCUAAAUGAUCAUUUUCAAUAUUGUAAUAUGGAGGCAUAUAUGUUUCUUAAAUCUUUCUUGUAAAUGGUUUUGAUACUAGUUUUAUAUACAAGAUGUAUUAUCAGCAUUUGUCAUUCACUGUACACCAUACAUUGGUUCAUUUAAAAUUGAUAAAUAUAUAAUCAACAGCAGUACACAUGAAAUAAUUUUCCAUCUAUAUCUUGAAUUGAACAAAAAGUUUAAUGAUAUUACAAGGCCUUAUAUUCAUGUGCGAUUGAAAGACUGAAUGAAUAUACUAAGAUAAUGAUAAUAUAACAGUAUUUAACUAAAACUAACUGCAGUUUAACACUAAUGUACUUAUAAUGUAAUUGAUAGUACCACACUCUUACUUGUAACUUGUUUUCAUUUAUAUUCAAUAGAUAUUUCAAGUUUGAUAGCUAACUCAAAUUUCAAAUAUGAAUGAACAUUAAAUGUCUGCUGUUUUAAGACUAAAGAGUAACUUUAUUUACAUAUGAGGUUUUUUGAGCUAAAUUGAUCAGCUUUGUAUGCUUAUGAAAUAAAUAUGUACACCUAU